rnacentral:lncRNA from 1 species
CCACCAUGUCAAUCAAUAUAUAUCUAAAGCAUACUGACCAAAUAGGCAACUCCGAAGCAAGUGGAGUGCACCAACACCUCCGCUGAGCUGAUAGCCUACUAGGAGGAAUGUCAACCUAUCAAUUGGGACCUGCAGGCAUGAAACGCAGCGUCCCCAGGCAAAAGGGACGUCGGUACCAAUAAAGUACCGAGUAUGUAAAGCAAGAAAGCAUAAACAAGAAUAGUAAUAUAAAGAGAGAUAGAGGAGAUACAACCUGUAACAUCUGCGUGCCUCUGUGAGCUGCUGACAUGAAAUGCGUAAUACAUAUAUAUACAUAAACUUUUAAAAAUAUACGCGUCUGUAGGCAUCAUCAUCAUCAUCAUAUCGUACCCAGCCUCAAAGAGGACUCGGUAAAAACGUACCCGGUCAUCAUAAGGCUCGGUAGAAUCGUACCCGGCCACGUGGAGCUCGGUAAAUCCAACUGAUCAGUGGUUACACAAUAUAUAUCGUACCCGACCUACUAUAGUGCGGCUCGGUAGAGUAAAAUAGAUAUUAUAUAUAAUGCAUGCUAAACUCAUGGAAUCACGUUCUAAACCUUUUGGAGUGACUUAAGGUCGUUGCACCUUCGAUUAACAUUAUGGACAUCAUACCAUCAAUAUGAGCUUCUAUAGGAUUCAAGGAUCAUACAUACUUGCUUAGAAUAACUUUAUAAGGAAAGAACAACAUGGGCAACCUUAGUUUCUAGGAGUAGAUCUGUUACGAAAUAGUGUAUUCAUUUCACUUUAGAUCAUGCCAAAAGAAAGAGGGAAGUGCCUUAACAUACCUUAACCAUGGUGAGUCCUUAAUACAUCUUAAGCAACUCUUCAAACAACUCAACUCAAUCUACCAUUGCAUAAGGAGAUUCAAAAUUAGUGUUGAAUAAAGGCUAAGUUUGCAACUUAAACUUGUAGCUCAUUUAUAUAAAUUCGGGCAGCAUCUCCCCAGUAACAAGAGCCUCCUCCAAUACCAUAUACCAACAACAAUUACCAGAGAAAUCCAUCAAUACCAAUUAUC